rnacentral:rRNA from 1 species
AGCGAACGCUGGCGGCAGGCUUAACACAUGCAAGUCGAGCGGGCCCUUCGGGGUCAGCGGCGGACGGGUGAGUAACGCGUGGGAACGUGCCUUCUGGUCUGGAAUAACCCUGGGAAACUAGGGCUAAUACCGGAUACGCCCUUUUGGGGAAAGGUUUACUGCCGGAAGAUCGGCCCGCGUCUGAUUAGCUAGUUGGUGGGGUAACGGCCUACCAAGGCGACGAUCAGUAGCUGGUCUGAGAGGAUGAUCAGCCACACUGGGACUGAGACACGGCCCAGACUCCUACGGAAGGCAGCAGUGGGGAAUAUUAGACAAUGGGCGCAAGCCUGAUCCAGCCAUGCCGCGUGAGUGAUGAAGGCCUUAGGGUUGUAAAGCUCUUUUAUCCGGGACGAUAAUGACGGUACCGGAGGAAUAAGCCCCGGCUAACUUCGUG